GAUGAACGCUAGCUACAGGCUUAACACAUGCAAGUCGAGGGGCAUCAUGGCGGUCGCUUGCGACCGCUGAUGGCGACCGGCGCACGGGUGCGUAACGCGUAUCGAACCUGCCGCAUACCCGGGGAUAGCCUUGCGAAAGCAAGAUUAAUACCCGAUGUUCUCACUGUUCCGCAUGUUACGGUGAGCAAAGAAUUUCGGUAUGCGAUGGCGAUGCGUCCCAUUAGCUAGUUGGCGGGGUAACGGCCCACCAAGGCUCCGAUGGGUAGGGGUUCUGAGAGGAAGGCCCCCCACACUGGUACUGAGACACGGACCAG
rnacentral:rRNA from 1 species